CCUACCUGGCAGCCAAUGGGAGCCUCCCAAUUUUAAAUUAGCGCUCACGCGCCAAUUCAAGGUCUCCCUUGCAAAAAAAAUAAAUAAAUAACGGUCUCAACCAGUAUCAACAAGGAAAGGAGAAGAAGGAGAAGACAUAUCCUAGCUAAAAUUGAAUUUUCAGCAUUAGAUACCACAAUGCCAUUUGCCAUUUAUUAUUUCAAGGACAAGACUGUGGAAGUUGGGAAGAUUUUAUGGAUGAGUACUGACGACCAGCAACAAUGUCCAAAAGUAAUCACUCAGUGCCCUGAUCUAGAAGAAGAAGACGGAUGGAUGGAGAUAAAGUGGGACAUAAAAGGCAGAAAAAAGUCAGCUCCAGCCUUUUUCCCAGCAAAGGUUUUGAUGGUUGGUGAAGAGAAAGAAGUCAUCGUGUGCUGAAAAAGAGUGAUGAUAGAAGAGCUGAAGAAGCAGCUGGCAAACAAAAUAUCUUCAGAGUCAACUAACUCAAAUGAGGAGUCAUCAGAUGAGGAGCAGCUGCCCAGAAACUGGAGUGGAGCACAGAAGAAAGUGAAAGAGCUUCAGAGAGAUAUCGAGAGCCUGAAAGCAGACUAUGGGAAAGAGAUACUAGAUGCUAUGAGAGAGCUUCCAGCAGUAGUGACAACGCUGAAAGAGAUCUUAGAAAAAAAUCACUGUUCUCAACUCAAGAUCUCAACUCCUGCUUCCACCUGGUCAACACCCAC